rnacentral:lncRNA from 1 species
GCCAUGGCCCACACCAACCUUUCAGUAAAGCUACUUUAUCUACAAACGCGUGGAAUAAAUUCCAACAACACCUGUCCUACUACACCUGCCUUUGUGCAUGUAAUAUUUGGGCACUUGGAGGGGGUAUUGUGGUGAUUUUAAUGCUGUUUGCAAGAUAUUUUUUCAGUUGUCCAACAAAAUCCUUAAACUAAGCUAUAGACCUCUCAUUUUCACGAUGCUCAAAGAUUGAAAAUCCGAAACAGUGAACGAAACCCAAAAAACUCACCGAUCUUUCGGGCGUUACUGUUGGUGAAGAGAUACAUGAGAAGAUGAACAGUUCGGAGGCUGAACCUCUGAUUGUAAGAAGACAAAGCCCCCUGCAACUCCUUAUCGUCGAUGAACCCACUACCGUCCUGGUCCGCCAUCUGGAAGCAUGCCACCACGUUGGGGUCCGUCCCCGGAGGAAAAGCCGACGGCACAAGCAACGCGAAGGGACUUCCGAACCCCGGCGCCGAAGGCGGAUACCCUCCCAUGGACGAUGGCGGAGGUUGGUGGCUGGAGCCUCCGUGGGGCUUGUUCUCCUUAGGGGGUUUCUCUCCUGGGGCUGCGUACGGCGCCGAUGGAGCACCAUAGGGUGUGGCCACGGGGGCGUACGGUUGGUAGCCUUGUGGCGCCGGCGCACCAUAUGGAGUUGCAGAGUAAGGCUGCGCCGGCGGCGGCGCACCGUAGCCGUAGCCGUGACCUGGAGGCGCGUGUGGAUAUCCAGACAUUUUCCUAAAAGACGAAUCGAGGGUUU